rnacentral:rRNA from 1 species
ACUCCUACGGGAGGCAGCAGUGGGGAAUUGUUCGCAAUGGGCGCAAGCCUGACGACGCAACGCCGCGUGGAGGAUGAGGAAUUUCGGUUCGUAAACUCCUGUCGAGCGGGACGAAAGAUGCGCGGGUUAAUACCCCGUGCAAGUGACGGUACCGCUAAAGGAAGCCCCGGCUAACUCCGUGCCAGCAGCCGCGGUAAUACGGGGGGGGCAAGCGUUGUUCGGAAUUACUGGGCGUAAAGGGCUCGUAGGCGGCCAACUAAGUCACACGUGAAAUCCCUCGGCUCAACCGGGGAACUGCGUGUGAGACUGGAUGGCUUGAGUUUGGGAGAGGAAUGCGGAAUUCCAGGUGUAGCGGUGAAAUGCGUAGAUAUCUGGAGGAACACCGGUGGCGAAGGCGGCAUUCUGGACCAACACUGACGCUGAGGAGCGAAAGCCAGGGGAGCAAACGGGAUUAGAUACCCUGGUAG